GAAGCAAGCCAGUAAGGAACAUCCCUCCAUGGCCUCCAUCAGCUACUGCUUCCUGACCUGCUUGAGUUCCAGUCCUGACUUCCGCGGUGAUGAAAAGCAGUAUGGAAGUAUGAGGUGUCACUGUGUUACCCAGACCACCAGAGGAUUUAAGUGACCCUCUCUCUCAGCAUCCUGAGUACCUGGAUUUACUGGCAUGUGCUGUCACACUAGCUACUUUCGAGCCUUGGCUGACAGGGUUUCAUAUAGCCCUGGCUGUCCUGGAACUCACUCUAUAGAUCAGGCUCACCUCAAACUCAGAGAUCCCGCUGCCUCUACUCCCCAAGUGCUGGAAUUAAAGGUGUAUGUCAACCACCACCCUUUACUUAAACGGAAAAGUCUACAACCUACCAGUUGGCAAAGCAAGCAGUCAGACAAACAGAAGUCAAAUCUUCCACUGCCCUUUUAUCCUACUGAGGUCAAGGAAUUGGAUGGUGCCCAAUCACAUAAGAGAGGAUCAAUUUAUUAUUAUAUAUAAGUACACUGUUGCUGACUUCAGAUGCACCAGAAGAGGGCGUCAGAUCUCAUUACGGGCGGUUGUGAACCCAGGACCUUCGGAAGAGCAGUCAGUGCUCUUACCCGCUGAACCAUCUCGCCAGCCCCAGACUACGAGAUUUGUAAUCUGCCUAAACAUGUUACUAAAAAUAUAAAUUGAUGGAACUCACUCGGAUUCAGUAGCCGCACGGAGAGCCUGAAGGGAAGCCAACACGUUCUUGGAAUUGUCCAGCUGCAUAAUGCUAUUGAAGGGAGUACUUGACUUUCUAGGGCCCUAGAAACUCUGACAGGUGCCCUGUUUCAGCGACCCUCACUUAUUGCUGCAGUAAAGAGGCAGCUUCAAGUAAGGACUAUCUAUGAGAGCAAAAUGAUAGACUAUGAUCCUGAAAGAAGAUUAGGAAUCUUUUGGGUGAGCUGUGAGCUGGCACCUACACUUGGACACUAUGCAUACACCUUGGCUUGUUACUGGGAGUUAGUGAUCAGAUAUAGGAGCUUGGGAGGGUGCGUUCUGAAGUCACGAGUGAAAAGGACCACAUGGUAACAAUGCAUGGUGUACUCCAUGCUCAGUGGCUGUAUGGUAACACAGUGUUCUUCCAUAUGAGGAUGGCAUCGAGGUCAACCAGGAGAUUGUGGUCAUUACCACUAAGGGGGAAGCUAUCUGCAUGGCGACUGCAUUGAUGACUACAGCAGUGAUUUCUACCUCUGAUCAUGGCAUAGUAGCCAAGAUAAAGAGGGUGGUCAUGGAAAGAGACAUUUAUCCUCACAAGUGGGGUUUAGGUCCAAAGGU
rnacentral:lncRNA from 1 species